rnacentral:misc_RNA from 1 species
AAGUCGUAACAAGGUUUCCGUAGGUGAACCUGCGGAAGGAUCAUUAUUGAAUUCACUAGCUUUGGUUGUUGCUGGUCGCUCAUCUGCCUCAAGUGCACACCGGGGCUCUUGAUUAUCAUCCACCUGUGCACCUUUGUAGACAGCCUCCAAAUCUCUCGCAGUAAUGCGGAUUUUGCAGAAUGAAGGGAAUUUUUUUUUUCUCUACUUCUGUGCUUGGGGUUGCUCUAUGUUCCUUAUACAAACUCGUGUAUGUUUUAUGAAUGUUUAUUAUUGGUCAGCAAAAAAGACCUUUAAUUUUAUAAUACAACUAUUGACAACGGAUCUCUUGGCUCAC